CCUACGGGUGGCAGCAGUCGAGAAUUUUUCUCAAUGGGCGCAAGCCUGAAGGAGCGACGCCGCGUGGAGGAUGAAGGCCUUCGGGUUGUAAACUCCUGUCAUUUGGGAACAAAACUUUGGGGUAACUACCCAAAGCUUGAUAGUACCAGAAGAGGAAGAGACGGCUAACUCUGUGCCAGCAGCCGCGGUAAUACAGAGGUCUCAACCGUUGUUCGGAUUCAUUGGGCGUAAAGGGUGCGUAGGCGGUCGCGCAAGUCGGAUGUGAAAUCUCAGGGCUCAACCCUGAAACUGCAUUCGAUACUGCGUGGCUCGAGUACUGGAGAGGAGACUGGAAUUUACGGUGUAGCAGUGAAAUGCGUAGAUAUCGUAAGGAAGACCAGUGGCGAAGGCGAGUCUCUGGACAGUUACUGACGCUGAGGCACGAAGGCCAGGGGAGCAAA
rnacentral:rRNA from 1 species